AACGAACGCUGGCGGCAGGCCUAACACAUGCAAGUCGAACGAUAAGCCACCUUCGGGUGGUGGACAGUGGCAGACGGGUGAGUAACGCGUGGGAACGUGCCUUUCGGUUCGGGAUAACCCAGGGAAACUUGGGCUAAUACCGGAUACGCCCUUCGGGGGAAAGAUUCAUUGCCGAAGGAUCGGCCCGCGUCGGAUUGGCUAGUUGGUGGGGUAAUGGCCUACCAAGGCGACGAUCCGUAGCUGGUCUGAGAGGAUGACCAGCCACACUGGGACUGAGACACGGCCCAGACUCCUACGGGAGGCAGCAGUGGGGAAUAUUGGACAAUGGGCGAAAGCCUGAUCCAGCCAUGCCGCGUGGGUGAAGAAGGCCUUAGGGUUGUAAACCCCUUUCAGCGGGGACGAUAAUGACGGUACCCGCAGAAGAAGUCCCGGCUAACUCCGUGCCAGCCGCCGCGGUAA
rnacentral:rRNA from 1 species